UACAGAGGGGGCAAGCGUUAUUCGGAAUUAUUGGGCGUAAAGGGCGCGUAGGUGGCCCUUCAAGUGGUAGGUGAAAUCCCUCGGCUCAACCGAGGAGCUGCCCGCCAAACUGAAGAGCUUGAGUCCGGGAGAGGUGAGUGGAAUUCCCAGUGUAGCGGUGAAAUGCGUAGAUAUUGGGAGGAACACCAGUGGCGAAGGCGGCUCACUGGACCGGAACUGACGCUGAGGCGCGAAAGCGUGGGUAGCAAACAGG
rnacentral:rRNA from 1 species